rnacentral:lncRNA from 1 species
GAGACCUCCCCCCUUCCCCCUCAUGCAACUCCACUUCCUCUUUCGUCUAUAGUCUUGUCAUGCUCUCUUUUUUCCCAGGUAGAGACUCUCGUUGACUCCAUCAAGCCAGGGUGUCAUCGAUGCACGCUCCUCCUUCGUCGCUUGUUUCAUCUUGGACAUCGUAAAGUCCAGAGGGUUUCAAGUUUCCAUUGCUUGCACCAUCUAAUUCUGUGAGUAGAUCGAUCAAGAUGUGGUCUUCCUAUAGGAUGGUGCCGACUCGGCAACUUGGCUCCACAUCUUCGAUGCGGAAUCCAGCAGAUCUGAGGGUUGUGUCAUGCUAUUGUGCCUUGAUAUCACCACAUUGCUCACGUACACAUGAUAGAACAUUAUUAAGCCUACUGUGCACUUCCCUUAUUAUUUCCAUGAUUGGAAUAGAGAACUCGUGGUAGAGAGGUAUGUACAGCUAACUGUGGCUUUAAGGAAAUUUAUGUUCUUGCGUUUCAUGGUUAUGUGAUGUUGAGGAGUGAAUAUGAUUGAUCACAAGGUUUACAUUGAUGGUUGUGCAGAUUUAUUUGAUCCCUCCCAACAUGACCUAUCUGCCAUUAUUUGAGACCAUCAUGUCCACACCAGUUUAAAUAUUUCAAGCAGCAAGGUUGUUAGCGAGGAAUUUCGUUAAUCUAAUGUGAAGUUUUAGAAAGUUCCAUUAACUCGUUUGGAGGAAAAAUUAUUUAAUAUAGAGGUGACAAAUCGAAUCCUUUGGGAUUUAACGU